UUCGACUAACCAUGCGAGUCGAGAGGGUUCGGCCCUCGGCAGACGGCUCAGUAACACGUGGAUAAUCUACCCUAAGGAGGAGGAUAACCUCGGGAAACUGAGGAUAAUACUCCAUAGGUCUAGAAGGCUGGAAUGCAUCUAGGCCCAAAACUCCAGUGCCUUAGGAUGAGUCCGCGGACUAUCAGGUUGUAGUCAGGGUAAUGACCUGACUAGCCUACGACGGAUAUGGGUUGUGAGAGCAAUAACCCAGAGACGAUAUCUGAGACACGAUAUCGGGCCCUACGGGGCGCAGCAGGCGCGAAAACUUCACAAUGUGCGAAAGCACCGAUGAGGGGAUCCCAAGUGCUGGCUCGUAAGAGUCAGCUGUUUCUCUGUCUAAAAAACAGAGAGAGUAAGGGCUGGGUAAGACGGGUGCCAGCCGCCGCGGUAAUACCUGCAGCUCAAGUGGUGACCACUAUUAUUGGACCUAAAACGUCCGUAGCCGGUUUGGUAAAUGCUUGGGUAAAUCGUGUAGCUUAACUAUACGGCUUCCGGGUAGACUGUCGAACUUGAGACCGGGAGAAGCUAGAGGUACUUCUGGGGUAGAGGUGAAAUUCUGUAAUCCUAGAGGGACCACCAGUGGCGAAGGCGUCUAGCUAGAACGGGUCUGACGGUGAGGGACGAAGCCCUGGGGCGCAAACCGGAUUAGAUACCCGGGUAGUCCAGGGUGUAAACGCUGCUCGCUUGAUGUUAGUUGGGCUCCGAGCCCAAUUAGUG
rnacentral:rRNA from 1 species